rnacentral:misc_RNA from 1 species
AAGUCGUAACAAGGUUUCCGUAGGUGAACCUGCGGAAGGAUCAUUAUCGAUUCGAAAGGCUCUUGGAUUGUAGCUGGCCCUCCGGGGCAAUGUGCACGUCCUCGGUCGUUCUAUAUCACCCCUGUGCACCUCUGCGUGGGUUUCCAUCGGCCGUCGCCUUUGGAACGCAGCUGGGCAUCUCUCAGUCUCUCUCUCGCUUGGCCGAACGUCUUUAAGCCUCGCGGGUGUGUGCGGAGGGUUGCUCGAGCUGGCCCGCGUUUAUUAUCAACUUUUGUAUGUCUUAGAAUGUCUUCAGUGUGUGCGCGUAAAAAAUGCACAUCUUUAAUACAACUUUCAACAACGGAUCUCUUGGCUCUC